AUUGAACGCUGGCGGCAGGCCUAACACAUGCAAGUCGAACGGUAACAGGAAGAAGCUUGCUUCUUUGCUGACGAGUGGCGGACGGGUGAGUAAUGUCUGGGAAACUGCCUGAUGGAGGGGGAUAACUACUGGAAACGGUAGCUAAUACCGCAUAAUGUCGCAAGACCAAAGAGGGGGACCUUCGGGCCUCUUGCCAUCGGAUGUGCCCAGAUGGGAUUAGCUAGUAGGUGGGGUAACGGCUCACCUAGGCGACGAUCCCUAGCUGGUCUGAGAGGAUGACCAGCCACACUGGAACUGAGGCACGGUCCAGACUCCUACGGGAGGCAGCAGUGGGGAAUAUUGCACAAUGGGCGCAAGCCUGAUGCAGCUAUGCCGCGUGUAUGAAGAAGGCCUUCGGGUUGUAAAGUACUUUCAGCGGGGAGGAAGGGAGUAAAGUUAAUACCUUUGCUCAUUGACGUUACCCGCAGAAGAAGCACCGGCUAACUCCGUG
rnacentral:rRNA from 1 species